AUGCUCACUUCAGCAGCACAUAUACUAAAAUUGGAAUGAAACAGAGAACAUUAGUACGACCCCUGCACAAGGAUGACACACAAAAU
ensembl:snRNA U6 U6 spliceosomal RNA